rnacentral:rRNA from 1 species
GACGAACGCUGGCGGCGUGCCUAAUACAUGCAAGUAGAACGCUGAAGAGAGGAGCUUGCUUCUCUUGGAUGAGUUGCGAACGGGUGAGUAACGCGUAGGUAACCUGCCUGGUAGCGGGGGAUAACUAUUGGAAACGAUAGCUAAUACCGCAUAAUAGUAGAUGUUGCAUGACAUUUGCUUAAAAGGUGCAAUUGCAUCACUACCAGAUGGACCUGCGUUGUAUUAGCUAGUUGGUGGGGUAACGGCUCACCAAGGCGACGAUACAUAGCCGACCUGAGAGGGUGAUCGGCCACACUGGGACUGAGACACGGCCCAGACUCCUACGGGAGGCAGCAGUAGGGAAUCUUCGGCAAUGGACGGAAGUCUGACCGAGCAACGCCGCGUGAGUGAAGAAGGUUUUCGGAUCGUAAAGCUCUGUUGUAAGAGAAGAACGAGUGUGAGAGUGGAAAGUUCACACUGUGACGGUAUCUUACCAGAAAGGGACGGCUAACUACGUGCCAGCAGCCGCGGUAAU